rnacentral:rRNA from 1 species
AUUGAACGCUGGCGGCAUGCCUAACACAUGCAAGUCGAACGAGUGGCGGACGGGUGAGUAAUGUCUGGGACACUGCCCGAUGGAGGGGGAUAACUACUGGAAACGGUAGCUAAUACCGCAUCCCAUCGACUGUGCCCAGAUGGGAUUAGCUAGUAGGUGGGGUAAUGGCUCACCUAGGCGACGAUCCCUAGCUGGUCUGAGAGGAUGACCAGCCACACUGGAACUGAGACACGGUCCAGACUCCUACGGGAGGCAGCAGUGGGGAAUAUGGCACAAUGGGCGAAAGCCUGAUGCAGCCAGGCAGCGUGUAUGAAGAAGGCCUUCGGGUUGUAAAGUACUUUCAGCGGGGAGGCGUUACCCGCAGAAGAAGCACCGGCUAACUCCGUGCCAGCAGCCGCGGUAAUAC